rnacentral:rRNA from 1 species
UACGUAGGGGGCGAGCGUUGUCCGGAAUCAUUGGGCGUAAAGCGCGUGUAGGCGGCUCGGUAAGUCCGGUGUGAAACCUUGGGGCUCAACCCCAAGCCUGCACUGGAUACUGUCGAGCUUGAGUCCGGGAGGGGAGAGCGGAAUUCCUAGUGUAGCGGUGAAAUGCGCAGAUAUUAGGAAGAACACCGGUGGCGAAGGCGGCUCUCUGGAACGGUACUGACGCUGAGACGCGAAAGCGUGGGGAGCAAACAGG